UACGUAGGGUGCAAGCGUUAAUCGGAAUUACUGGGCGUAAAGCGUGCGCAGGCGGUUUGUAAGUCUGUCGUGAAAGCCCCGGGCUCAACCUGGGAAUUGCAUUUGUGACUGCACGGCUAGAGUGUGUCAGAGGGGGUAGAAUUCCACGUGUAGCAGUGAAAUGCGUAGAGAUGUGGAGGAAUACCGAUGGCGAAGGCAGCCCCCUGGGAUAACACUGACGCUCAUGCACGAAAGCGUGGGGAGCAAACAGG
rnacentral:rRNA from 1 species